CCUCUGAAAUUGUAAAACCCACAUAAAUAUGAUAAAGGGGUUCAUAAGUCUAGAUUAUUCUUUUUCUGGUAGUAUAGAGUAGCAUUUCCAUCAGUUCUCUUGAAAUAAUAUAUCCUAAUGACAAAAAUAGGGAAAAGAGUGUUUUAAACUUUAAAAUUAAUUAAUUUUAAGAUAACUUUAGGUUAAUGGUAGGUCCUUUCUUAACAUACAAUGAGAAAAAAAUCCAACUAGCGAGUUGUUUCUGUCCCACAGCAUUAACCCUGCUGUCAAUAAUUAGUAAGAAUUUAAAUAUAGCGACUAAUACUAGAAAAAGCCAAAUUAGAUCAGCUAAAGUUUAAUAGUAGUUAAAUUUUUUUCUAAAUGUUGUAUGUAUACAUUUAUUUAUGUUCCUAAUUUUUUUUUUUGUAUAGAUUUUGCUACUCUUAAUUGAAAAUGUGGAGAGUCCACCUCGACUAAUGACAAAAUGCUGCAGCACAGGAACAAUGUUUUCUGAGCUUGUCAUUUAAUGACACUUUGAACAGCUCAAGUCAAUGCUCCUAAAGUUGAAAUUCUGGACCAGCUAAAUAAAACAAGCAUUUUCUCUGCACGCCCUAUUACUAACUCUCUUCAGUCUUUGCUUAGAGUUUCUUUGUAAUCAGUUAAUCUGCCUCAAACUAAAAAAGUGGAGAGAAUGCAAAAGAACACAAACUGUAGCUGCACUGGUCUGGCUCAGAGUUCCUGAGUUUGCAGCAAUGAAAUUUCUCUUUUCUUUCCUAUACACUGAAGCUGUAUUUGCUUCUGGGUAAGAAUCUGCUGUUAAAUGUUAAAUAUGAAUCAGUCUUUUGUAAGGCUGCACUAGAGAUGGAGAGGUUAGUUUACUGGCUAUUCUAUAACAAGGAAGUAAUGUAAACAUAUAAUAACUAUUUCCAUUUCCCUUGCAUGUGUUUUCCUGGGCUAACUGUGCUUAUUUUGUGUUUAUUUAAUGAAAAGUAUACCAAUAAAUUAUUGAUUCAGCUGACAGGAAGAAAAAGACAAUGCAAUGGGAAAUAUUAUCAAAUAAGGCCUCUAAAUAGACUGGGUAAUUUAGACGGGAAAUCCUAAAUCAACUGCUAGAUAAUGUAGUAAGUAAACAUAUUAACCUGUAAGUAAACAUAUCAACCAGUAAGUAAACACAUAAACCAGACACAAAUUUUGUCAUAAAUUAUGUUUGUUGAUAUAUCAAAGUCUAGUCAUAGCACCCAAGGAACAGUUAAGGAAACCCAGGAAAUAAAGAUAAUGGAUAAUUUUAUGGAGUUUAUAAAUUGCAGCUUCUAAACAUUUAUUUAAAAAAAAAUUUCAGGAGUGCUGGUUUAGAAUCGUCAUUGAAAACCAUUACUGCAGGAAUGCAUGAUUCUGUAUAGUAAACAGAACACAGUCAUUGUCCUGAAAAAGCAUUUCUUGGUGAAAUUUUAUCAUUAUUAGAAGAACUCCAAAUAAAAACCCCUGAAUACGCAUGCAGACAUGGUAAAGUCUAAUCAGAUAUAUUUAUAACAGUUUUGGCAUUUUAGAUAUGGCUGUCUUUACAAACCUUUUUCCUUUACAGCAUGCGUGCAACACAUUCUUUAGUUUUUUUGUUACAUGCAGGUCUUUUUUUUCCUGAAUUUGUCUUAUAAUUAUUCCUUCUAGUAAAGCCAUAUAUGAGAAUAUAAUUAGUCCAUCCCUUUUCUGUGGCAUCUUGCUCCUAACACCCUGAGAUAAGUAAAACCAAACAAAACUGAAACAAGCUUCACCACCCCCCAAACCCACAAAAUUUUACAUCACGUAUCAUCUUCAGACCCAGGAGACAUCAUUGGUGGGAUUUCCCAAAGAUUUGAUGUUAACUGUCUGCUGCCACUGAAAACAUUGAAACCAUUACCUUUGAUAAAAGCAAAGUGAGGCCAAAGCCAAGCCCUUCAAUAAAUCUUUCCCUGACAACUGCAAAGACAUGAAGCAUUUGAAAAUAUGAAUGAUACUUAAACUGUGUACAAACCUACCUGUCUCAUUCUGUAAAGGCCUUGAAGCUAAUUAAACUAAACUAGAACUCAAGAGAACUCAGUCUUUCUGAAAAUUCAUACUGCUUCUUCUAUUCCCCAAAUGCUAAACUAUUACCCAUUUCAGGCAUUGUUAUCCUAGGGGAACCUGCGCAGCUAAGUGAACAGUGAAAGUCAGCAAAUAUGGUAACAAGUGCUUCCAGUGAUGAGCUGAAGGGAUCCUGUACUUGCUAAUUUUGACAUCUGGAAUUUAAACUCUGGAGAACUUUAGUAAGAGUGUUAUCUGGAGUUGACUGAUGAUCUCUUUUUGUUUGUUCAUUUUUGUUUAACAGACAGGUACCAUAGCUGAGGCAAUAUGCCUGGUAUGGGCUUUAUUGAUAAAGCAAUGCUGAAGCCAGAGCCCUCUAACUGAAAAUUACAGAGGCCUACAAGAUAUAUUAGCAUAUAUGAUACUGCCACUUUAUAGAACUGUGUUUCUUCCAGUGUGGUGAUGAGAUGUUUCUGGCAGGCUCUAGUAGGUGAAGCAAUCUCCCCCAUGGGGAUCAGCUUUGUAUGUACAACCAGUGUAUCUCCUGAGUUUAAUUUCCUUAAUCCCAAUUGCCAGCAGGAGUUGUGAUGAUUGAUUUUGAUGGUGCAGUUUUCUACAAAGGUGAUAAAGUAUUAAAAGAAGUUGGUAAACUGAGCCUAGCUGUACUGAUUAAGUGAAUUUCUUCUUAACUCUUGUGAGAAGAAAUCAAAGCUGCUGGAUUGCAAUAUGCUAGUGGAUUCUGAAAGCAUUUUGAUUUACACUUGGUAAAGUCAAACUGCCUCAGUGUUUUGCUAUAGUACCUCUAUAUGCCAGAGACAUGUAUUUGAAGAGCAGGGGAGGUGAGAUUGUUCAGCUAUACUGAGUGCCAUUAAUCUUUAAAAUUUACCUUAAAUUAGGGUACUAAGUUGAUUUUAUAAUUAAACAUACAAUUAUUUUUAUAUGCACAUCUAUACAAAAUAUACAUGUAAUUGAAAAUGUAAAAUAAUAUAAUAUAAUAAAUAUUACCUGACAUAUACUGUAGUAUGCUAUUGUAAUAUAUGUUGCAUAUGACAUAUUGUACUUGGAUACAGAAUAAGAUAUAUGCUAAAAAGUUAUGUUCUUGAUUUAAGGUUUCUCUGGCUUCUUAACUGAAAGUUUGUCUUAGAAAGGAAAUUAAUGGGCUCACAGCUUCAAGCCCACCUCUGCAGCUUUGUCUGCUUCUUUGUUUCCCUUUAAACACCUUAUCUACAGCUAUGUAUGCAGCUAGAUUAUGAAAAAGAAAUUUGCUAUUAUCACUGUUGCCUUGUAAUGCAGAGGUAAUACCUCUGUUGCUUCAGCAUGAAGCAACCAGCUUUCAGUCAGCUGUGCUUGUUAGUCCAGUGUAACACUCCUCAUUAUGUGGGGAACACAUAGACAUGCUCUCAAUCACUGACUAAAAACGUUGCCAGGUUUGACCAUUGCACUGUGAGAUGCAUAAGAAGAAUGAAUCCUAUCCUUAUUAAAUCUAAGGGGAAAAGACACACCAAACCUCUCACUGAAUUAUUUAGGCUUAAAUUUUCAAAGCACAAGAUACAGAAUAAUUAUCCUUUUGUCCUUGGAGAAGGUUGUUGAAAUGUAGAGUUCAGAGACAUUCAUAAGACAUAUCAACAUAUGAAAAGACCUGUAGUGUUUACCCUUGAAAUGAUACAUAUUCUCAGGACAAAUGUAAUACAACUACCAUAGCUGGAAAAUCAGUAUAUUUCUUGAGAGCUUGCAUCUAAAUCUAUAAGUGAACAUCACAGCAUUGAAAGUUGCAGUCCCUUUGUCUUGUGCAGGACUUCUAAAAUUGUUGGGUGAAAUCGUGUCAGAUUCCUGCAUUCUGUGUGGUCAGAGGAAGGCAGCACUAGGAGUUACAGUCAGCACGCUCUAAGGUUUUGGCUUGCCUACACCUAACCAGUGCUGAUGGUAAUUCCAGCUCUGCUCUGGCACUUAACAUUAUAAUAGGGAUGUCUCCUCUCUUCAGGACACGUGGCAGAAAUGUCUUUUUAAGAGUAAGAGCUGAUUGACAAACUUGAAAUCAAUGGUCUUUUACCUGUGUUUUCUGAGUAUCUACCACCUGUUGGAGUUGCAGCUGCCAGUAAUUUAUCAGCACCAGAGAAAUGAAAAAAGCCUUUGAGUUCCACCCAGUGGAAAAGAAGAUGUGAUCCUCAGCUUCAGAACCUUAGGUCCUUUACCCAGGACAGGGGGUGAUCUAAGUUUUUGGUUUUGGCUCCAAUAAUUCUUCAUGAACUUUCUUCACUGAUUGUUUCUUAUAAAAUGCAGAAAUUGUCAAAGCAGAUCUUAGAUGUUUCUCUAAGGCCAGCUAGGCUUCCUGACUAUAUUCCUUCUGUCUUCUUGGGGCGAUGGAGAAACAUCACAAUUUUGCUACUUCAUCUGGUGCAGAUGUGACAUAGGUGCUGAUAUGCUUCACAUACGCCUUCAGAAGAAAGCUGAAAGAUUUGUUUCAGAUUUUCAUUUUAGACUUGGACAUACUUUAUUCAAGUUAGAGGCCUGAAAUAAUUGAUUAUUUUUUUUUUUAAUGGGUAUAUCAGUAUUUGAUUUGAUGCACAUCAGCUGGAUUUAGCCAGCAUCACAGAAUAUGGAUGAAAUGUCAGAGAACUGAAAAAUGAGACAAACACAAUCUCAUAGCUGAAAGCUGAAGUAAACAAAACCAGUUAAUUAUAAGGAUUGGUUCAUUUAUGAAGAAGAUAACUGAAGAGUGUGCUUCAGUUUCAGAUUUAAGAAGAGAAAUUUUUCCAGAAUGUAUAUGUAGCUAAGUUACCAGAUUGAAGGACAAGAACUGAAAGAUGAAUUUCCACAGCUAAGAUUAAUUUAAACUUUUAUGGGCAGUGCCCUGCUUAAAUCUAAGACCUUUAUGGUUUUCUGAUAAGACACAGCUUGCUUAUUCUACCUGCAUCUGGGAUGUUUUUUCAGAUCUCUUAUGGUUUUAACUGCAUUGUUGUUAGCCUUUACUCUGGAUGGGUAUGAGUCAGCUCCAAACCAUAAACAAUGUAGCCAUGGUUAGUAAGCCUGGGCUGCUAAGCCUUUGCUAUUAGUGUGGGCACAACAAGUGUGCCUGCUCGGAGCACAACCAAAGCAAGCACAUAUCUGCUUAAAAAAAAAGAAAAAUAAAGUUAAGAUAUCCUCUCUGUUCUUUUCCUGCUUCCUCCCCUGCCUCUCUCUUUCACUCUCCCUUCUGCUUUCUCUCUGUCCCACCCACACACAUCCACAAAAAUACUCACAGAAACCCCACCUAUAUAAGCCCUCCACCCAGACAGUCCAAAUCCCUGAGUGGGAUCUCACAUUGCACACGUUUGUCUGGAGUGGUAAUGCGUGGUGGUAUUUGGUGUGAGGCUUCUUGUGCAGUUCCUAACUAAGAACUUGAACAAAGAGUGGUGGUUAUAUUCAUCCCUUUCAAGAGGGUUUUACUCAACCUAUGAAGUGCUCAUUUUUACCUCAUACAGCUGACUGAGCCCAGAAAAGGGUAAAUCAUGCAGGGGAAGCCACAAUGCUGAGCUCCAAACACUCUUUGGGGAGUUCCCGUUCAGAGGGGACAGACUCACCCUAAGUUUCACUUAGGCCACAAUGGCAGGAUGUCAGUGUCCUGCCUCUCACAGCACAGAGUCUGGCUGCAGAAACAUCAGUAGCAGCCGACGAUACAGCAAUUUUAAGUGACUUAAUAUGUGGCUGCAAGACACCGGUUCAAUGGGCUUUUCUCGUGCGCAAAAUAAGAAACUGGUUACGCUUUCCCAAAAUUUUCUUUUAAUCUCUCUUUUCUUCCACUAGCUAGCCACUAAUUGUGUUUUACAUCAUCUUCUGCCAUUUUUCUGGCACAAGAAACAUGCUGCCACAAGUGAGUAGAAAUUCAACAUUCAUUAAGGUUUGACUGUAUUGCCUGUGUAUCACCUCUCUUGUUUUUUUUUUUUUUUUUCCCCCUAAGAUGACUGCUGUCAAGAAUGAGACUAGCAAUCUUACAGUGGGAAGUCCUCCAUUUUAGACAGAUUAGUACCUGAGACCACACCCACACUGGACAGAAAUUUGCUCUUCCUCACACAUAGACUGAACUGGAAUUACUUGGGAUUUUUUCUCCUAAAUUUGUUCUAAGUUCUUGUGAGUCACUAUAUUACUUGACAGCUGAAUUUAAUGCAUCUGAUUGUUAAAUUCCCUGUCUGCUAAUCUUCAAAGAUCACUUACUGACAAUACCAUGUGCUGUGUGUAAUAGAGUUGCUGCACAUUUAUGUUAAAUAGCUCUGAGUUUUGUUUGUUAAUGCCAGGUAAUUCAGGCUAAACUCUUUUUUGAUAUAACCAAAUAUAAAAUCUAAUCUGUUUUGACUACUUUC
rnacentral:lncRNA from 1 species